AAUCUGUGAUGUACCAUUUGUCUAACCUUGAACGCAGUAACCUUUUGAAGCCGAUAAAGCCUACAAGAUCAACCUUGGGAAAAGUGUAUGUGUAAGAAUUCUAAGAAGGCUUCGCUUUUUGAUGAGGGACAUAGGCUUGGACAUAGGCAUGUGUCAAUCUAGACCGGAAUGAGGGGCUUCAACUCCAAACCUUCUAUUCGAAGUCGCUAUCCUCCGAUGUCAAUUAAGCUGCCGCAGGUUUCACAGUUACAAAGAUGCCCCAAAUGAAGAGUGCAAGUUCGCUGUCAGAUAUCUGCCUAGUAUUUAUUUCACAAAAUGUAAAAAUGUUUUGUAAUGAGUUGGAAAUCGGUGAACAAGCGGAUGUCGCGGAUGUCACUGAUGUAGAAGAUAGCACAACAAAUCCCUUUCACCAAUUACCCUCAAUUUUGUUGGAGGCACUUAUAAAUAUAAUCACCGAGAAAACCCAAGCGGGAGAUAAGCAAACCGAACGGUUUCUUCAUCAAUUGAUAACCCCAGCACACCUCUCUACUAUAAGUUUAGACUCAACGAUGGUUGACAAAAUUGAUGUCUUUUACAUUCUUCGACUCGCCACAAUCAGA